rnacentral:tRNA from 1 species
GCGCUUGUAGCUUAGUUGGUAAAGCACUCGUUUGAUAAGCGAGUGAUCAAUGGUUCGAGUCCAUUCAAGCGCA